rnacentral:rRNA from 1 species
AACGCUAGCUACAGGCUUAACACAUGCAAGUCGAGGGGCAGCAUGGUCUUAGCUUGCUAAGGCCGAUGGCGACCGGCGCACGGGUGAGUAACACGUAUCCAACCUGCCGUCUACUCUUGGACAGCCUUCUGAAAGGAAGAUUAAUACAAGAUGGCAUCAUGAGUCCGCAUGUUCACAUGAUUAAAGGUAUUCCGGUAGACGAUGGGGAUGCGUUCCAUUAGAUAGUAGGCGGGGUAACGGCCCACCUAGUCUUCGAUGGAUAGGGGUUCUGAGAGGAAGGUCCCCCACAUUGGAACUGAGACACGGUCCAAACUCCUACGGGAGGCAGCAGUGAGGAAUAUUGGUCAAUGGGCGAGAGCCUGAACCAGCCAAGUAGCGUGAAGGAUGACUGCCCUAUGGGUUGUAAACUUCUUUUAUAAAGGAAUAAAGUCGGGUAUGGAUACCCGUUUGCAUGUACUUUAUGAAUAAGGAUCGGCUAACUCCGUGCCAGCAGCCGCGGUAAUACGGA